UACGUAGGGUGCAAGCGUUGUCCGGAAUUAUUGGGCGUAAAGAGCUCGUAGGCGGUCUGUCGCGUCUGCUGUGAAAACCUAGGGCUUAACUCUGGGCGUGCAGUGGGUACGGGCAGACUAGAGUGUGGUAGGGGAGACUGGAAUUCCUGGUGUAGCGGUGGAAUGCGCAGAUAUCAGGAGGAACACCGAUGGCGAAGGCAGGUCUCUGGGCCACUACUGACGCUGAGAAGCGAAAGCAUGGGGGAGCGAACAGG
rnacentral:rRNA from 1 species